rnacentral:rRNA from 1 species
GAUGAAAGCUGGCGGCGUGCCUAAUACAUGCGAGUCGAGCGAACGGACGAGAAGCUUGCUUCUCUGAUGUUAGCGGCGGACGGGUGAGUAACACGUGGAUAACCUACCUAUAAGACUGGGAUAACUUCGGGAAACCGGAGCUAAUACCGGCUAAUAUUUUGAACCGCAUGGUUCAAAAGUGAAAGACGGUCUUGCUGUCACUUAUAGAUGGAUCCGCGCUGCAUUAGCUAGUUGGUAAGGUAACGGCUUACCAAGGCAACGGUGCAUAGCCGACCUGGUAGGGUGGUCGGCCACACUGGAACUGAGACACGGUCCAGACUCCUACGGGAGGCAGCAGUAGGGAAUCUUCCGCGGUGGGCGAGAGCCUGACGGAGCAACGCCGCGUGAGUGAUGGAGGUCUUCGGAUCGUAAGACUCUGUUAUUAGGGAAGAACAUAGGUGUAAGUAACUGUGCACAUCUUGACGGUACCUAAUCAGAAAGCCACGGCUAACUACGUG